CUCUGUCCUGUUCUGGAGGAUGCUGGUUGCCCUGAGCUCUUCACGCCUUUGUCAUGCUGAUGAAGACUUCAGCAACACCUAAGUCUGAGCUCUGGUACCAUAAUCAGUUCUAGCUAUUUCAAAGCACUGUGGUGCUGUGUGGUCUCCAGCAUCGUGUCAGUCUCCUUGCCUAGAGAGUCAUGGAUGAAGAGAGCACAUUCRGGAGCUGAGGGUGAAAGAAGCACGAAAGAGGAUUUUUCAGGAGUCCAAAAGUGGAAUUACACUGUACAGGAACACCUGAAUUCCUCAACAGAAGAUAUGAAGCAGGCUCCAUGGAAAAUAAGUAGAUAUUGUGCUAUACAGGGCUUUGAUUAGUGGUUAGACCUCUAGUGAAUUGCCUGGAGUAGCCCUGUCCUGGCUGAACAAGUAGAAAUGACUGUCAAGGUUCCCACAUUUUCAUCUCUCCUAUCUAAAUCUGCAAUGGAACAAACAUGUGUGGGCACUGGAAAAAAAUGGCACUGUUCUUCCACUGUUGUUAUGUUUAUCUGCCUGGGCAAGACCUUGCAGGCUGGUAAAAGCCCUCUGGACAUGGCAGUGCUCAAAGCCAUGCUAGACACUGCCUGCUUCCAAGAGAUGACGGUCCCCAGGAGCAGAUGGUUACUGCUAUCACAUCCUCGUGGGCCUCAAACCAGUCAAGCUGUGUGCUGCAUAACACAGCAGUGAGAGCAAACCAAGUAUUACCAGUUCUUCUGGUAAGAAAAAACUUCUUUUCACUGCCAAAUUACUCUUCCUACAUACGAGCAUUUGAUCUGUAAUAAUCUUGCUGUUCAUAAAGAUCCAUAUUGAUACAUUUAAAGCAUCCUUCUUUGUAUACGUUUCUUAGGCAUUUCCCUCAUUUAGUCUCUUCCUCCCCACUUGGAUGCCAGGA